CGCCGCACCCAGAACCCAUCCUCACCAGCUCCCAGAAUCAGGGGUUUGGUCUGGGGUCUUCGUCGGAGUUCGCGGGAGCACGAGGUGCACUCGCCAGGCACGACUGAUGGCUGGAGCGGAGGGAAUUCUUCACCGGAGCAUGGACGUCGUGGUGGUGUCAUGUGUCGUCGUGGGAGGACUCCCCCACUACACCGCUGCCUGUAAGAUGCCUUUACAUGAGUUUGUGUUGUCCUUCGUUACAUGUAGCGCCCUUUGUAUUAGGGGUAUGUGACCUAUGAUGCCGGGGCGCUGCCUCAUUAUCGUGUUGCCAUCGCGGGGUGGGCGCACGCCACUGGAGUGCAAGGUCGGAGCGAGAAUAAGAGGUUAGAGUCGUUGAUCUCCUUCUGGGCGACUCUGAUUAGAACGUGGAGAUACCCCUUUGUGCAUUAAACCGUAGUCGUCGGGUUUGGAUCGGAGGGAUAGGAUAACGUUUUGGCUAGAUCAGAUCUUGGUCAUAAGAUGGAGCGUUAGUGGAUUAGAUUAGAUCUCUCCCUAAUAAAAUCUAGAUUGUAUAUUCAAGAUCGGACGACCCUGAUUAGAAAUUGAGAUAAUGUUUUGAUCCGAUGAAAACUGGGCAUCAAUCGGGGAUCUAGCAGCUGGAAAUCCAUACCAGUUCAACGAGGGGAUCUAAUUCGCGCCUUUAGUUGAAGAUCUAGCGGCCGAGACACGCUCAUACCCCUUUGGCUAUUGUUGUUUUGCGUAAGAGACCAUGCGUUCCUCAAAAAGCAACCCGCAGUCCACCCCAGUGCAAAGACUCUCACGAAUUAGUCCUAAGAAUUCUGAUUUAGACCCUACAGUCUCCAAAAAUAUAAACUGCCAUCCUUUUUAGAAAUAAAAUAAAUAAAAAAUCAUAGGAAAUUCCCUGGAAAUCAUUUCUUAGGUAUAAAAUAAAUUUAAAAAUAUCUAGAAACUUAGAAAACUCAUAACUAUCACGUUUUAACUCUGAUUUUAGUAGUUCUCGAACCUGCAAUCUCGUAGUGACGUGUAAAAUAUUUCUAUAUAGUUUGUUUCCAUGCUUUGGUGUAAUGUUAUUGUAUCCCUUGUUUGCUUAUUUGUAUGUAUUGCUACCUACUAGAAGCGGGGUUGCAAGGAACCUGAAGCCCAACUCGGAGAAGUACCUGGUGCUACACCAAAAAGACAAGUUGUGUCCUUGAUCACAUUUUUUGACCUAAGAAUAUUUAUGUUUAUAAUAAUCACCAUGGCAUGCUUAGGUUAAAUUGAUGGGACCUAAUAGGUUACCUAGUUUUGUUUACCCUACACCUUGCAUACAAAUGAAUUAUUGGGUAGUCCUGCUAUUGCUUUACCUAGUUUUGGGAGUAAUAACAUUUAUGAAUUAUCAUCAUGUUCUAUUAUAUUGCUAGAUUAUUUAUUAUUGUGCUUGAUAAGAUCAUUUUGUUAAUUGGAAUAUGGAGCGAUCACCUGAGACAACAGUUUAACCACAACGACUAUAUGGCUUUGGUCUUGGCCAAUUAAUUAGGAAAGGUAGUGUAGGAUAAUCCAUUCUCGAUAGGGGCAAGUGGGGAGGCAUCGCUGCAGAGUAUAGUGAUAGAUGUAAUUACGACGAUGGGGUUACAGACUAUGAAAAAAGGCAUAUGCUUCCUUGGUCCAAAACGAUAGCGGGUUUUCUCAUACUAGUGGAACUUUGUAAAGGCCUUGUAGUGUACCCUCGCCAACUCACCUUGGAAGUGUUUAAGGGUCCGUACAAUCCUGGGCAAAAAGGGAACACAACUUGUGGGUAUAGACGUGCAACCUCUGCAGAGUAUAAAACUGGUAUAUCAGUCGUGCUCAUAGGCAUGAGCGGCUCGGGCCCUCACAUGAGUAAUUUAUGAAAUUAAAUUUAACAUGCCAUGCAUUGCAUUGUGCGAGUUAUUAAAUGUGAUCUCUUAUUUAAUUAGGAUAAUAUUUACUUAUAGUUAGUAAUUGCUAAUAAAAAUUUGACCAUCUUAUUUAAAAGUAAUGCUCAGCCUUAACCAUUUUUCUUAGUAAGCCUUACGCUACACAUGAGCCCCAACCGUAUGUGAGCUCAUACACAUUAUUCCCCACACUUGCUAAGCGAUGACCAUAUGGGAGCUCACCCUUGUUAUAAUCACACUAGAAUAAGAACAUGUACCGCUGGAUAAGCAUGAAUGAUGCUAUGAUGAGUUCAGAAAGGUCUAGGCCAUCGUCUCCUAGUUAACUAUGGUUGUGGAGGAUAGUUGCAAUCAUAUGAUGUAAUCUAUUUAGUUAUUUUUGUACGGAAGUUCUAUUAUAUAAUAUAGAUGUGACAUUGAGUUCUAUACCAUGAGCCAUCAUAUGUGUGAAACUUGAUCCUAGCACAUAUUUGAUAUGCAUCUUGAUUUGCCCUAAAAUCUGUGUGUGACAAGGUCCCCUGCCACACACAACGUAACCAAGUUCCCAUUCUACGAAUGUCAUCGCCAAUCCAUUGACGGGUCCAGUUGCGGCACAUGUUGUUGGGUCUCUUGUCAUUGAUGAGGUCCGGAUGCACCAUGUGUACUAGGACUUCUACUAGAUCCGCUGGCCCCCAAGAAGACCUCCUAUGCCAACUGCUCUACCAAGCACAAUGGGGUCCAAGUGCAUCACAUGCCCUAGGUGCCCGGUGCCUCUAAUGGGCUCCGGGCACACCACGUGUGUGCCCACACACACGUCAUAGUUGGUCAAGUGUUUGUGCAGUCAUAGUGUUGUUAUGCAUAUAUGACACAAGAGACAAGACUAUGUGCACAUCUUGCGAGCAUCCUAGGCAUGACACCAGUGCAUUACUGUGGGCGCAUGCAUGGACGACAUCCACCACGUCUGGUGAUGACAUCCACCCAUAAUGUGCAGCCAACAAUGCUACAUGAUGGAUGGGCAUUUACACCUUCUAUAUUAACAAUAGACUAUGUCUGGUUGCUACAUAACUUGUAACCACUCUCGCUUGAAAUAUAAAAGUUAGAGAGGAUAUGCAAUACAUAUAACAUCACAAGUUAUAUAAGUAAGAUAGUUAUAUAUUGAGAUCAAUAUAAAAAUUAGAAAAAAUAAUUAAUUACUUUGAUGUCUCCAGAAUUAAUCUUUCCUAUUGUGCCUCCAUUAAGCAUCAGUCACUUACGAGACAUUGUUUUAGCUAAAUUGGUCCCAUAAUAAGUUGAGGAAUACCAAUACAUGUGACGUGACAAAGGAUGAACAAGACUAGUAGAAGGUAUCUAAUUCACUAUCUUGAUAUUUAAAAAGAUAUAAGAAGCUACAAUGACAAUGUCAAAGUUGAGAGUCAUGUUAUCUCACAACGCCCUCUCCCGUUAACCCAUAGUUAUUGAAGUCUGCAUAAAUAUGUUGAAGGGGUGGGAUAAUUAAAUUGUAUUAUGUCAUCAGGAAGGUUGGAUGCAUAAAUAGUGAGGUGUAAUGUAUGCUACUAAGGCUUCGCCAUUGGAUGAAUAUGUAAAGUUCUUUUCUUGAUUGAAUUUUGUUAUUCAAGAUUUUUGGUAAUUUUGGAUGAUGGGUUGCACAACCUAUCUAUGAGAAAGGUAGAAAGAUAACUCUGGAUACUUGCUCAAUCAUAAACAUGGCUAGCAUGGAGCAUAUGAGUGAGCGACUUAGAUUUUCAUGGUGCAGAAGCGAUGGAUGAAAACUAUUUGCACAAUUCAAAACUUAACAUCCAUAUUGCAGCGCCCCUCAUUUUCAGUUGCCUCUAAACUCUCAAGUCAUGGGAAUAAUUUAAUAAGGGGUGGGUAAAACAGAAGUUCGGCAUGACCCAUUGGUUGUAGCCCCGUGAAGCAUGGCAAACACCCGAUGCAUUUAAAUAAACACCAUAGCAGGUUUCAUUGUGAGAAAAACAUGACAAAUGUAUGAUGUACAUGACAUUUUUCACAAAAGGGAAGCAACAAAAAUGUGAGGAAGGAAAAUUAACCAAGGGCUGAGAACUUAUACUUCAUGCUUAAAUAUGCAAUGGAGAUUAUCAACCAAAAUGCAAUAGUGAUUUUGCUUUCAGAGUCAAAUGUUAGGAGCAGUUACUAUUUCAGUUGGAAUAUAACAACAAUGGCAACAUUUCUAGCAAUCCUUGGAUUGACGGUUCUUCCUGUUGGAACAUAAAUUAUCAAAAUGUUUGAGGAUAAGUUUGUGGAAUUUUCAUGCCUCGGUACAAGCAUGAAUUAUGACCUUUUCCCUUAGUGACCAACGGACCUGGUUUGCCUUGAAAUUUUUUGAUUGAUUCAUCCUCAUCAUUAUCUUUGUUGUAUAGUGGGUUUUGUGGUUAACAUAUAAUGAAUGGAGCCCAGUCGUUGUCAGGGGUGAAAUACCACAAGAACUCUGAUUCUCUCUUAAAUGUGUUUGAGGCACAACAACUUGAAACUGGCAUCUACAACUAGGAGUCAAGCAUUGUUUCAAUGUAGUCUGCUUGACUCAGCAUCAUUUCUACACAAUCCCAUGCUGUGACACCAUGUCUCCGGUUAUCCAUCACGCUCGAAGCAUGCUCGUUGGAAGAGGCUAGGAUGGGGUAAACCUGGCUAGCAUCACGUUGACAGAGGUUGUUCAAAGACUCAUUCGAGGUGAGGGACCAAAUGAAAGCGUUUCAACCAACUACGCAUCCCAUUGGGCCUCACGUUUAACUAACAUGAGGCCAAAAGCAUGCUCAUGCAUGAAUUGUAGGCGAUUUCUUGAAUGGACGAAACCAAUCAUAGAUGCAAAUGCAAUGAAAUUUCAAGUAAUUGAUCACCCGAUUUCCAUACCAAAAACAAUAGUUGUGUGGUAUGUGGUAAGGCCACAAUAUUGAUACCUGUUGCACUACUCGACAGUCACUAGAAAUAGCACUUAAUUAGAACCAAUAAUCGAACACAAGCUAGCCUAUUAGUAGUCAACUACUAAUAGUGAGUCGACCAAUCCAUAAGGAAGAACAAAUCAUAGGCUCAGCUCACUGAGAUACAACUCAAAGCACAUAAUGCGACAGACUACGCCCUCCUUUACGCCCUCCUCCUUGUUGGCGUUACAUGAGGAUCAUGAACACUUACGUCUCUUUCAGUCGAUAGGGGCUGACUCAAGUAGGACAUCACCAGGAGAUACUUCCACCAGUUGGUCGACUCAUUCGAGUACUCACACAGGCACGACGCCUACUACCAUAAGCUCAAGCCGCAAAACAUACUCGUCGAUGAGCUCGACAACCUCAUUGUGUCUGAUUUCAGACUCAUCAUCCUCUGAGAGUGCCAGAAACAGGAUAGAUGGUUGCACACCACCUGCCGAGAGUGCCAGACGGAGGAAUGACAAACAUUCGAAUAUCUCAUUUCCAGUUGCCUCUAAACUAUCAAAUCAUGCCAAUGACUUGAUUUUUUUCUAUGAGUAGGUGAAAUAGGAGCUAAGCAUGAUUGCAUAGGUCAAGCCUACAAGUAAUAUAAAAUACAAGGUUACGUGCCAUAGCAUGAUAUAUCAUCAUCACUACAGCAGCUACAGUCAUUUUCGGCAGCCUUUGCCACCGAAAAUAAGGCCUUUGUCGCCGAAACUAUUUUCGGGGCCUUAUUUUCGGCGGUCUCUAGUCGCCAGAAAAAAUUAGCCAAAAACAAGCUUUUAUUUUCGGCGGCCAGGUGACAGCCGCCGAAAAUAGCUUAUUUUCGGUGGCCGCCAUCAAAAAUAAAUGCUUAUUUUCGACAGUUGUCACCUGACCGCCGAAAAUGUGCCAUGAUUAUUUUCGGCGGCCACAAGUUGGCCACCGAAAAUUAACAAUUUCAGAGAAAAAAUUGAAAUAAAUGAAAUGCAAAAAACAGCAACUUCAGCAACAAUAUAAUCACAAAAAUAUGACAGAAACAAUAAUUUCAUAAUUGCACACAUUUAACACAAAGUAUUGUAAUUCUUCACAACCACAUUGAAGUUCACCAAAAUCAAGUUCACAGUUCACAAAUGGUUCACAGUUCACAAAUACAUUACAUAGUCCAUUACAACAUAAAACAAACUCACAAAUCAGCACAAGACUCAAACCAUCACAUAUCGGGGUCAUUGGAGUUGUGACCACUACCUCCAGAAGCGAACAACUCGUUGACGAAGUCGUACUGGUUUGGAUUCUAAGGAAAAAAAGAAGACAUAAUCUUUUCAUAAUUAUUUUUGCACACAUCAAUCUUUUCAUAAUCCAUACUGAGACCUUUUGAUAAUUAUCUUUGAAUGGUACAUGUCUUUAGGCAACUUAUUGGGAUUUGACAGCACAUCUCUUAAUAACUUUAAAAUCUCAUUGUAACAGUUGUUCGAGAAAAAAAUACUUGGACUUAAUGGUCAUAAGCCGGGUCACAAAAGUGAGUAUACUCACAUCUGUGUGUUCAUGCAACGACUGUUCAGAGUCUUUUAGUAGUUUAAAAAUCUGGAAACCUCUAGUGUGGCAGGAUCCUUGGAGCUUAGGUUUAACUCUGGACGUAGCGAAUCUAGCAUCUCAUGCAUCGCAUCAUCGUCAUCUCAAUCAUUGUUCUCCUCCUUUUCUACAUUCGGGUUGAGUACUACCUCACCAUGAUGUUCUCACACCUCAUAUCCGGGCAUAAAUCCAAACUGACAAAGAUCUAGGCUAACUCUUUCCUUAUUAAUGACAUAUUGUUUUCAUGCCGCCUACAAGGGUAGCUGACAGUGUUGGUUAAUGACAAGGAGAAUAUGUGGUCCACAAAAUCUUUGGACUUGGCUACCCAAUCAUCAGAAUGACGCUCAUUCCUACUUCAGCCAUUGUACAUCUAUACAUGAUCUUCAGCCAUGCUUGAGACUAUUAAACCGAACCAUAUCGUGAAAACAUUAUUCAACUUCGUCAAGGAUAUCGGUCCUACAUGUAUAGGCAAGGAUGGGUUCUAAACCCACAAGCUAACAGGACCCAAAAAAAAUCGGCAGCAUAACCUCGCUUCCACUAAACAAUAUAUUGUACUUAUAAAACUAAUAAUAUAAUAGUACCACAUAUUAAUAUAAAAUUAAUGUUACAAAUACAAUAUGCCUCUAAUCCCUAAACCAUAUAUACCACUAAUACAUUAAUGAAAUCGAACUAAACAAUAAUACUAAUCACACACACUAAUCAAACAAACAAAAUUACAAAUAUAUACUAAUUUCGGCGGCAAUUAAAUAACGGACGCCGAAAAUAUAUAAUAAAAUACGCAAAAAAAAUAACCUUGAUGGGAGCCGAGGUCGACGGGAGCUGAGGGUGACGGCAGACGACGGGACGGGGCAGAGUGCGGCGUGGCCGGCGGCGCGUCGAGGGCUUGGCGGCCGUCGGAGCGGCGGGGCGGGCGGCGCGUGGCAUGGGGCAGCGGCACGCGUCUCGGAGACGACGCGGGGAAGGGCGGCGGAGAGAAGACGCGCAGAGAGAAGAGAAGACGCGCGGGAGCAGUAGAUAGAGAGAAGAGAGGAACGAGCCAGAGGCGGAUUUUAAAACCUUAUUUUCGGCGACCUCUAACACAGUCAUCGAAAAUAAAAUGUAAUUUUCGGCGGCGGUAUCAGAGGCCGCCGAAAAUAGCCUUAUUUUUGGCAGCUGUGUUAGAGGCAGCCGAAAAUAAGCUUAUUUUCGGCAGCCACCUCCAGCCGCGCGAAAAUGGUUGUGCAUCACGAAAACAUUACGAGGACACCAUCUAUAUGAAUGAUGUGGUUCGCUAUCAUGGAAAGCCGAAUUAUAAGAACAUGAAAUUUUCACGGAUGAGAAGCAACACGUGAAGAAAUUUGAUUAACCAAAGACUAACAUUUUGGUUGAACGAGCAACUCGGGAAGCGUGGGAGCCAUUUGUGUGGAACGCCAUCAAUCAACUAGCAUUAAGAAAAUAGACAAAAAUAAAUCUCCAUAGCUUGCAAAUCAAUUCAUGUAACACUAAUAAUGCAUGAUAUAUAUGUAUGGAAACUACGGUUAUACUCAAGCUAUAUAGAUUAGCACACAAUUUGAAUUGUUUCUCUUACAUUAAAAUGGUUGUUUUAGAAUAUAAGCUCUCCACUGAUAUGGCAUCUAAGUUUGAAUUAUACCAUGGAGCAGUCCAUCAUCAAUUCAUGUUGCCGCGCACGGGCCAGUAAUUGUGGGACAUAAGAAAUAUACAUGACUAACCAAAAUUCCUUAACAUUGAUAUUUGCUUAGUUUAUAUUAAUUCUUACACGGUUAUCAUUUUAGAUUUUUUAAUCUUUAUCCGGUUGUGCUAGACUUUUAUUAUUCACUUUUCAAAUUCAUAGUUACCACCUCUGUGUCACACGGUCACACCUCUAUCUGUUUUUGACAUGUGUUUGGUGAAACUAUCUAUCGUAUAUCCAUAUCCUAACACAACACUUAUCUAUCUACUUAGUAAUUAUAAGAUUAUCUAUAUUCUUUUUCCCAUUUCAUGUAUUUUGCAUUUCGAAAGAACACUUGUAUAGUUAUCUUCUUCACAUUAUCUUAUCAUGAGAUACUUUGCUUAUCAAUUACUAGUAUAUUAUAUUUUCUUCACAAUUACAUCGUACUUUCAUAUUUUCUACAAAUCUAUAAUCUAUAAUGUGUCUUUGGGUCAUUUCUAUUUUGUUUUGUUGAUUAAAUAUUCAACACAUUAUUUUAGACUAACAUAAUCUUGUAUGAGCAUAAGCACAUAUAGUUAAAGCAAAUUGAGAAAAAGGCACUUUUAGGCUUGAAAAUGGGCAUACUAAAAAUCUAUAUGGUUCCAAGUGAAAAAUGAAUGCUUCUAGUACUUAGUCAAUUGUUUUAGGUACUAAUUAUAUUUGUCUAAGUGUUAGGGACUAUAUGAAGUCGAGCCAAAAAGAGCAAAGAAAUGUUGGCAUGAAAAAGAAGCAUUCGGUCUGCUCUGGGUAGCACCGGACAAUCCGGUGAUUGUCCGGCCGAACGGGUUGCUCUUGCGAAAAGCAGACUCCUUCGGCUAUAAUUCACCGGAUGGUCCGUGCGGAGCGCCGGACAAUCCAGUGUGUGAGCCGGCCAACGGCUACAAGACACGUGGUCGCUGCGCCCUGCUCCGCGCCGUUCUUUGUCCGCGCGGGUGGGCAAGCCAGCAGACGCGCCUGCUCCAUUUCACCGAGCACCCAGCCACUCUCGCCUCCUUUUGCUCUCGUCUCACUCUCUCACACCCACUCUCGCCCUCGCUUUCUUCUUCCACCCCGACGCCGCGUCGCCAUGGCCGAUGCGAGCUAAGGUCGUGGCCGCGCUUUCCCUCGUCCACCACCGUCCAAACCGAACACCGCCCUUGCUUCGCCGCCGAGCCAAGAACCCGGAGCCCCUCGCUUGAGCUCGGAGAAGCUCCGAGCACCGUCGUCGACGUCGCAGUUCUUCGCUUCCCGCCGGCGCGCGUGGACCGAGCGUCUCCGUCCACAACCUGUCGAGCCGAGGACGCCGUCGAGUUCACCGUCGACUGCUGAUACUCCCCGACCGUUGCCUCGUUCGCAUCGUCGUCGGUAAGCCGUCGACCAAGCGCGCCUCAUCUCCCUUCUCUCUCUCUGUUCUAAGGAAGACGAUGGAUGUAGUGCACAAAUAGAUCAAAGCCAAGGAGUUUUUUCGCAAACGGUCAUAGACUCAGUGGAAUAGUAUCCAAGGACUGUAACACCCAAAAUACCAUUUUGGUGGUCUGGUAAUACUCACCAAUCAAUCAAAGUAAAAAACAAUAAAUAUAAAAUAUAAUAACAAGACCAUAAAACAAAGGUAAAUAUAAUUGUUUUUGUUGAGUGAUUUUUUUGUUUCACAUUUGGGAGCAUUAAUCUAAACGAAUAGAAUCAUAAAUAAAUACAUCAAAACUUCUCUUUUCACCUCAUGUGGGGUUUUCUUGUUUGUUUCAUUCAUAUUUGAAUUUGCUAAUCGAAACCAUAUUUGAAUUUGAAAUUAGAAAGGAGAUUGAUAAAACCAGAAAAAAUAUAAAAGGAGAAACUUGCCCGAUGCCUAAGCUUGGGCCAGAACCUAUCCCGGCGGCCCACUCCAUAUCCCCUCUCUCGGCCUGGUUCCCUUCGAAGCAAUCCACGCGACCCAGGGAUCUCCCACAGCGCCGACUAGCGGGCCCCCUGCUAGUCUCACCCGUGCGCUCGCAUACCCCCUGCAACCGCUGGCAAUCGGGCCUGCUCGAACGGGUGCUUCGUGAGGCCUUGCUUUCGCCGCGCCGGGGGCCCAUGGUGUCAGGGGCGUCCUCUACAUCAGAACGCAAUAGACUGGGCGCCGGAUUUGGGUUGUUGCGUUGGCCGUGGAUCUCGCCAUUCAUGCGGACUCCGCCUAGGAGGAUCCUCAUCCCUGCCCAUUGCCUAUCCUCGCCCCACGUGCAUAUAAGCAGACCCCCCCCCAUUAGCCCUCCAAAACCAAAGCCGCGCACGGAGCCAUGGUCGCCCUACCAUUAUCGCAAACACAGAGAAAGAAAAGAGCACCGUCGCCGUUGUAGCCAAUCCCGCUCAUCCACCGUCGCUUCAACCUCGGCAUGGUGCAUCGCCCGUGGGUACAGCACCCAUCCAUGGUCUCGCCGUGCUUGGAUGGCAUGAAGCGUGACCGGAAUUUCUCGUCAGGGCAAGGAAAUCACCGCCGAUGCCGUGGACAGAGGCUUUGUGCCAUGGAUAGUCAUUGAGAGGACCUCCCAGAUGUUCGUCGGGCCGAGUAGAAGCUUUGGGUAACACCAAUUUGGCGGGUAUUGCUUCGGGGCUAAGCUGAUUGCUCAUCGAAAGCACACCGCUGCCUCCGAUCGACACCCUAGCGUGGCCAGUACCUUCCCUAUCGUCACCAUUGGUGAGUUUCCCCUCCACAUGGUCACCAACUCACCAUCAUCCCCACUCUGUGUAGCUUCUAUUGGAUAGGCAAAUGACUCUCAUGUGCGCAAACGGGUGUGGCUCCGGCGAGCCCGCCACCACCUUCGCUUGGACCUUCGCUUGGAUCAUGAACAUCGAUCCGGAAUCGUGGGGCUUUCAUUGUAUACCGAUUUGAUGAGGGCUGCGACUAAUCCGGGCCGCCGGAUCAUGAUCAGGUGGCUGGGCAACAAACAGAUCCUUUUCGGCUAGCCUAUUUCACAUACGAGCCCCUGUGCUUUGGUGAAUUAAACCCGUGGUCUAGCCUUAGUCCAAAAUUAAUUGCGCAGAGGUCCUUUUCUUCGCAAAUUCAACCCUGAGCUUUUAUCUAAUAGUGGUCGCGGUCCAAACACCUUUGGUUAUGGAUAAAAUUAAUUCGAAAAUAAUUUUUAAUGCAAAAGUAAUUCCAAAAUCUUAGAAAAAGCAUAACUAAUUCUUUUUAGCUCCGAUUCAAUCCGUUCCAAUUGCAUUAGAUUCAUUAUAAUAUUGUCCAAACAGUAUAGUACUAAUUUACAUCAUAUUCUCCACUUUUAUAAUUGGAUAAUAAUUUAACCUAUGUUUAAAUAGAUUAAUCAUUUUUUAUUAAAAACUAAGUAUGAUUUUUUAACUUGGUUUUGAUUCAAUAGUAACUUAGAUUAUGGUGGAACUAUUUUCUAAUAAAUAUCUCCCCAUGGGAAUCACAUUAAUUAACAAAGAAUAUGUAUAUUACCACUAUUUAGCCUCACAAAACUUGGGAAAUCAUAUAUUUAUAACCGUAACUCCGAAUUUAGUGGUUCUCGAACCAGCGAUCUCGUUACAACGCGUAGAAUAUUAAUAUGUAGUUUGUGCUUAUGUUUGGUCUGAUGUUAAUUUUGCCUAUAUCAUGUUUGUUUGUAUUGCUACGAAUAGCAGUGAGGUCACGAGAAUUUGAAGAUCAUCCUGGUACCUAGAAUCUCGAGUCCCAGGCAAGUUAUGCCCUUGAUCACUCCUUUUUAGCUAAUAAUGUCUGCUGUUAAUCACUGUUACAUGCUCAAGUUAAUUUGAUGGGACCUAAUAGGUUUCCCUAGCAUUGUUUAUUCCCCACCUUGCAAACAGAUGACCUAUUGGGUAGAUUUGCUAUUGCUCUAUCUGGUUUUGGGAAACUAAUGUUUUAUUAUGAUCAUGUUCCAAUUAUGUUGUUUAAUUAUUGUUCAUGAUAAGAUCAUAUUGUUAAUUGGAACAUGGAGCGACCACUCGGUAAAACAGUGUUACCACAAGGAUGGUAUGGGACUGUAACACCCUGAAUUUGGGGGUAUAAAUUUUUUUUCUAAUAUCCACCAAAUUCAGGUGUUACCCUCUUACUUUCCUUCUUUUCUACUCUUUUUCUAAAUAGUGGAGAGUCAUUUUGUUUCAUAUAUGUGUAAGCCUAGUAAGAAUAGAACCCUAAAAGAGUCCUUGAUUAUUGCAUAACAUGCCGAGACAUUUUAUUGUAUGGUCAAUUGUUGUGGUGGUGCAUCCAUUCAAACUCAUGAAGUACAUUUGAAUUUUGGAUUCAAAAGCUAUAUCUAAAUUUGAAUACAAAUAGGUAAAAGAAUGUGGGAAGAAAAUAGAAACAAAAAGGCCCAGCUCGCCCCUUUUCUUUUUUCCCCGCGAGCCGACCCACCAGAUCCACUUCCUUUCCCGCGACCCAGCUCGCACUCUCCUCUGCUCGCGCUAGCCAGCCCAGGCACAGCCGUGGCCCAUCUCCUCUUAUCGGCCCAGCCCCUCACCUCGGCCUGCUCCGCGUUCCCCCUAGCCCUCCCACGUCCAGGCGCAACCACCUGCGUUGCUGGCCAGCCUGGCAGCCACAUGGCCGGCCCCAUGCAGCCACGUCCUACGCAUGUAGUCUCUAUUUUUUCCUUCUCCAAACCGCCAAGGUCGAGGCGUCAAGCUGCACGCACCCACGAUGUAUGCUUUCGUCUCCCUCGCGCUCGGAUCCACGGAGCGUUUUGACGGUUCGGCCGCCGGCCGGUGAGCCACCAUCGUGCUCGCCCUCGUGGCGCUCGGCCUCGUCGUGCCUGCUGCGAUCGUGCAGCAGCAGCCAGCAGGCAAGCCAGAGCCGCCGCUGCGGAGCCUGCGCUCGGAGCUCCGCCUGCACCAAGCUCAUCCCGCCGUCGCCGAUCAUCGUGAGCAGGCGAGUAUUUCCUUCUCCCUCCCUCCACCCGACGCCCAACCGCCUCCUUGGUCCCUGCCCACUCGGCCAAGCGGCAAGGUCGGCCAGAGGCCAUGGUGAGGGUGAGGCCCCGACGCAGCGGCCAGGGCAGAGCCCCCUGCGCGUCGGACCUAGUGUGCCUAGCCAGCCCAGCCCCCUUGCCGGUGAGCCGCCGGCAGCCGGCUCGGCCCCUACCCCCGCAUGUCUAUGGCGUGGCAUGAACCUCCGACCUCUCCAUCCUUGCGUGCGUACUGUAGUACGGGAAGAAGAAGCUAGCCUCAUGUGAUCCUAAACUUGGACCUUCUAUGGCUGCGUUUCGUGUGACCAUAGGUGUGGCUAGCCUAUAGCGAAUAAUAAUUAGCCACGUCACUUAAAAUUCGUGAAGUACUAAAUAUUUAAUAUAUGUUGCGUUAUAAAUCUGGUUCCCUUCGUUCAACUUACAUUAGCUUCGUAAUAAUUUCACCACUGAGUCAAUAAAGUUAUUUUAUCGUGACGUGUGUUUUAUCUAAUUAAUUAAUUGUUUGUUUGUUUAUCCAAUGCCUAUUAAAGUAGUGAUCCAAUUAAAACUAAUAUAUAGUUUUAAAUUUGCACAAGUAUAAUUGGACGUUAGCAUGAUUUAUGCCAAAUUAAAUGUCUAUAUUAAUUGGUUUAAUAUAUGUUCAUUCUAAACACGACAUUUGUUAAUGACUUCUUGCUUGUCGCAUUGUUCGCGCAUGUCGUGCGUCGAUGUUUGCUCAUCACACGUGUUGUUUGCGCGUCAUCGCGUUGAUUCGCGUGUGUCGCGCGAUGUCGUGCGCGUUGUUUCGCGAACCGCGGUGCUGUUUCACGUGCGUCAUCGCGUGUCGUUCGCGUUGUCGCGCGCCUUUUGCACGCGUUGUCGCGCGUGUUGGCGUGUCAUUCGCGUGCUGUUGCGCGUCAUCAUCAUUUCUUCGCGUGUUCGUGCCACGCGUCUGGUUCGCGUGUCGCGCGUAUCUCGCGUGUCGAUCACGUGUAUCGUGCGGCAUCUGCGCGUGAUAAUAAAUUGUUUUCAUUUAUAAACACUCAUGUUAAUAAUGUUAUUUCAUCAGGUCACAUAUUUUAAAUAAUUAACUUAAGGUUUGCUCGACUAAUAUUUAUUAGAUUAACAUUCCAAUUAGAUUAAAUGUGUAGUAUUCAACUUCCGCUUUUAUAAGAAACAUUAACAUGGCUAAUAUUAACUUAACUACUUUUUAUUUAUUUAGUAUUUGUUUAGUAUAAACGCGUCACGUAUUUAGUUUUUCUCGUCUGUCGUACGUGAUGUUUCGCACGUGGUGCCAUGCUGGUUCGCGCUGGCCGCGUGCACUAUUUCGUGUAUCAUCAGUGUGCUAUGUCGCGCGUGUCCGUGCUUCGGUUGCACGCUAUCAUGCUGUUUCGCGUGUCGCUCGUUGCUUGCACGUGUCGUGCGCUGUCCGCACGCGAUAUUAAACCAUUCGAAUAUAAUCACUGAUGUCCAUUAAUUAACUAUUUAUUUAAUCGUCCACUAUUAAAAUAGUAAGUUAGUCAAAGCUAAGUAGUAGUUUUAAUUUAUAUUUGAUAUGAUAAUGUCAAUUCAUGUAAUUAUAAUUAUGCUGAACUAAUAUUCUAUUUAAUAUUUGUUUAGCGUAAACCUGUUAACUUCUCGACCAUAGCUCCGACUAUCGCGUUUCUUUUUCCUCGCGUGACCGUAGUAGUGCGCUCUUUUUCGUUUUACAUGUUUUAUUAUAUUUUUCUUUGAAUGGUGUAAUGUUCAUAUAUAUAUAUAUUUGUUUUCUUGUGACUGUUCGUCUUCGCUUCGCGUUGCGAUUAGAUCGCGAUUCGUUUCCGAGCUUCGAGGAAUCGACGGUCAAGCGUUGGCGACCAAGUGAUCUGGUUCUUCGAGUUCUACGAGACUGAAUAUCCUGAGCAUCUGUUUGGUGAAGGAAAGUGUCCUCUGACCUAUUAUGUCCUACAUACUUAUAAUUCACCGUCCUGCAUUACAUUACUGAAACCUAAGGAUGGACUAGUCUGUAUUUACUUAUCCUUGCUUACCUUUUGGGUAAUCUUGGUUAGCUUUAUGCUAUUAUUUUAUUUUAAUCAAUGAACAUGAUGUGAAUAUUUAUGAUACGAUGAUGUUAUCCCGAUUAUGUUCUUGUGAUACUUUAGGGUACUCGGGCCAUUUUCCUGAGUACCUCUCAGUAAGGACCUGUUUGUGGAGCGACACCCGGGAUAACAGUGCAACCAUGAGAGUGGAAUAGGACACCCUUAGCUGAUUAAUUAGAGCAACCAGAGGAGUAGUUGGCUUCGCCAUAGGGCCGUCAAUGGGGUCCGGGCGCGUACAAUACUUGCUCUGCCGAGGCUGGUUGCAGAGGUUCUUGAUUUGGUUUUGUUAGCCACCCUUCUUUUGGGGAGAGGUACUGUGUUUAUCAAACUGGAGAAACCUAACGGGUGGCUAUGUCCUCUGGGAAAUCUUUGUAAAGGCUACGUAGUGAGACCCUGCUAAGUCACCUUGGUAGUGAUCAAUGGAGAGUCAUGAUCUCCGGGCAGAACGGGAAUCACGACUUGUGGGUAAAGUGUGUGACCUCUGCAGAGGAUUAGAAAUUGAUAUAUCAGUCGUGCUCACGUUUAUGAGCGGCCUUGGGAUCCUCUUUGAUUAGAGAUACAGAUUACCUGAGAUACAACGAUUCUAUUGAUGGUUUUGGUUACGAUGAUGAUAUGAUGUUCCUCGAUGAGGAAAUGAUUCACGUGUUGGUUAUUGCUAAAAUUUGGCUUCCACUAAUAAUAAAUACCUGACCAAUUAAAAGCAACUACUUGAGCUUAACCCACAUAAAGCUAGUCCACCUCAGCCAAACGGGACAUUUGCUGAGUACGUUGAUGUGUACUCACCCUUGCUUUGACAAAACACCAAGUUGCCUUUGGUGCAAUCUAUGCUUAGGUAAAGAAGAAGGCGUCGAGGCAGAUCUCCAGGAGUUCCAGGACAUCGAUGAGUUCGAGGAUUAGGCUAGCGACCUCCCCAGUCAGCUGCCUCUAGCGGGUUAAUUUAUGUUGGCUAUGUUUCGAUUCUAUGUACUUUGAUUUAUAUUAUUACUUAUUAUUUAUUGUUAUUCGAAGCAUUGUGCUAUGAUGAUUCAUUUAUGUAAUCGUUGUGUACGUGAGUUUCUGAUCCUAGCACGUACAUGGUUCGCAUUUGGUUUACCUUCCAAAACCGGCUGUGCAGGGACGCCCUUGGUUGACUAAUUAGGAAAUCUAGUGGAGGACUACCUUACUCGAAAGGGGCAAGGGCAGUAGGGGAGUGGUCGGUAUAGGGACGUUCUUGGGCUGAUUUUGUUGCGAUGGCUUUUCGGACGGGGGAUUCCUAUGUUGCGCUUCCUAGAAACUGUAGCAGGUUUUCUGAAGCUAGUGGAACUUUGUAAAGGCCUCGUAGUGGUACCCUUCCUCGCUUCCUUGGUAGAGGUGUAUGGGGUCUGAUCAACUCCAUGGCAAAUGGGUAACACGACUUGUGGGUAAAGAUGUGCAACCUCUAUAGAGUGUAAAACUGGUAUAUCAGCCAUGCUCAUGGUCACGAGUGGCUCGGACCCUCACAUGAUUAACUUAUGGAAUUAAACUCAAUUUGUCAUAUGCAUUGCAUCGCGGGUGUUGUUAUUAAUAUUGAUCUCUUAUUUAAUUGGGUUGGUAUCUACUUAUACCUAGUAACUGUUAAUAAAUUUUUGACCAACGUUAAAAGCAAUGCUCAGCUUAAACCAUCCUCUUUGGUAAGCCUUACACUUCAUAUGAGCUCCCACCUUUGGUGAGUUCAGGCACAUUAUUUCCCACAACUUGUUGAACGAUGAACAUUGUGAGCUCACCAUUGUUGUACUCACAUCCCCCCAGGUCAAGAAAAGGUACCCCAGGAUGAGGAGCAUGGAGGAUGGCUCGAUGUGUUCGUGAGAGGUCUAGGUCUUCGUCUCCCUGUCAACUUUGGGUUGUUGGAUCAUUGUCUUCAUAUGAUGUAAUUAUUUAAUUAUUUUGUACAGAACUUUGUUAUAUAAAUGAUGUGACAUUCAUUUCUGUACCAUGAGUCAUCAUAUGUGUGAGACUUGAUCAUAGCACACUUGGUGAUUAUUCCACGCCCGGGUCUUGGUGCCCCCGAAACCCGGGUGUAACAAGGACCUAGGAGUAGGAUUCGUAUUUCACUAGAACCCGAGGGGCUGACAUGCAAAACAAUUUACAUUUUUCUCUUUUUCUUUUUCGGUUUAAAACAUACAGAACCUUGGGAAAUCCAUAACUAGAGUUUUUGAACUCAAAAAAUAGUGAAAUAAAUUUUAAAGAACUCCUUUGUGCUAGAUCUAUGGUUUAAAAAUAUUGCAUGUCAAGGUUUGAAUGUUUUUAUAGUUUGAAUUUAAAUAGGAAAACCGAGUUUCCUUAUAAGUAAUAAAAUAAAUUACUCCUUGGUCAGAAAAAUAUGAUUCCAAAUUUUAUUAGGUUCCUCUAAAGGUUUUCUAUCUGUGAUAAUUGAUUUAGAGGUAUGUUCUGUUAAUGAAUUCGUUUUUGUGAAUUAAAAGGUUAAGUUGUUGAUUCCUUAGAAAAUAGAAAAUAAAUAGCAAAGCAUCAAGUAUUAUUGUGAAACUUUUUGUGAGCAUGGCAUGUGUCAUUGACCACCUCUAGAAUUAACAUGGACCAUCAGUUAUGCAGAGAAAUUUUGACGUAUAAAUUAAAAAUGGAAAAUGUGAUUUUUUAGAAAACCAUAGAAAAAGACUUAUAAAGAAAAGGUUUGUGUGAAUUUUUGUGACAUGUUGUUAGGCCAAGUAAAGUAUAUGAAAAAUCUGGUAAUGACUGUUUGACUAGUUUAGCGAUGCAAUGUAGUUUAAAUUACUUUCUACACCAUUUCUUGUUAUUUUUGUGCAGUCAAAAUAAUGGUCCAAAGCAAUUGAAAUUUCUGUGGUAGAGUACGGCAGAUGAAUACUAACUGCUAUAAUUUUUGUAGUAAAUUUGGAAGUGGUCGAGUAGUAUCCACAAUAUAAGUCCAAUUAAAUGGAAUAUAAAGGUUUGAAUAGUUGCAAGGAAUUCUAGGUUCAAUUAUGAUUUCACCUAGAAUGAUUGAGUAAAUAAUUACGGUUAUGAUAGCUAGGGUGUGAGCAAAGUCCUUCUCACUAGGAGAUAACUAACUUGUAAAAAGAAAAGGGGCUAAAUGAAGAAUAUUUCUUAGUGUGUCUACACAUGUAUGUGUAAGGUAAUUAGAAAUACAUUGUAGUGUAAUUUGGGUGAAGUUAUGUGGAUUCUUUAAAUACUAGUCAGAACCAACCAAGAAAAGACAAACUACAUGUUCUUAGACGAUGUAAACUAUCUUGUAGAAACCUCUACAUAGUAAAUCUACUCAGAAUAUGCACACUACAGGCACCCAUAAGCAUCAUACAUCUGUUGCAUGAAGCAUCAUGUAUCCUCAUACUGCAUCCAUACAUCGUAUAGGAUCACAAGAGGAAGUACCAGUGGGAAUUGUCGAGGAGCUGCUAAGAAUUCUUGUGGAAGAGGGUGAAUCAGAAGCUGAAGCUCAGGAGUGUCCUAAUCACCGCCCAGUUCAUUCGAGAAAGGCGAGCCCCGACAUCUAACUUCCUUUAUUUGUGAUACUUUAAUUUAUUCACUGCCUACCUAUAAUGUUGCAUUAGGCAUAGGAGGUGAUACUAAAAAUAUGAGACCAAUUUUUUUGGACUACUAAAUUUCUAUAGUAUUUAAUAAGAAUAGUUCUAGGAUUUUUAGUCCAAACCAGGAAUUAUUCAGUAUUUAAAAGGGCUCAAACCUAUACUCCUUAGUAACUCCAAAAAGCACCAAAAUUUUUGGAUAAGCUUAAAAUGAUAUUUAGAAACCUUGGGUGAAGUUUGGCUUGCUUUGGACAUUGUUUGAAUCCUAAACCUAAAACCCUAGUCUUCUAGGUAAUGUCUGCCCUCUCAAAUGAAGAACUAACUCCAAAGACCCUAGUUUCCUGGAGUACCAUGAAGGAAUGUUGUAUUCAAGAUACAACUUGAUAAACCUUUUCUAUUAUUGCAUUUUCAUAAGCAUUACAUGAGCAUUCAUGGUUAUAUAUGGUUAUAUCUAGAGAACGAGGAAGAAGUAGAGGUUGAAGAAGGAAGAGCUACACCACCACCUGAAGACCCACCUGCCAGGAACUGCUUAUAUUUUGAUAUUUGUGGAGUAGAGCCCAACUCUCCUAUAACACAAGGCAAGCCCUGGUGCAUUUGCCACCUCCUUGCUAUUUUAAAAUCUUUCUCACUUGCUUGAUGCAUUAGGUGAUAGGAGUUGUGUGCUAAACAAUUGAUGCAUUUACUUCCUUGGAAGAUUGAUUAAUUUUCCUUGAUCACCUAUUUUAUGAAAAGGUUUUUCUGAUGCUUAGUCUUGCUCUAGAAAAACAAAAUGUUUUGUUUUGACAAAAGAUGAUGCUUCAAGUGGGAUGGGAUGUUUUCAAAAAUAAAACUUGAUGGUGGAUCCAUCAUGGCCAUGAUGGGUUCAACAUCGGAAAAGAUGUACCUCUGCCAGGUACCAAACUUUGGGUUUUUAAAUGAUAAAGCUAAGACCGGGUGGGUGACUUGCACGAGAAGAGAGUCUUGGUGUAGUGUCUCCGUCUGCGUCGAUUAAGGACCGUGUCGAUGUAGGCUUGAUGAUUGAGGACCUUUUAACUGGUCACAUGCCUCAUCAUAGGUAAGCUUUGCCUCGGGUAGACUAAUACCAGAAUAGGACAACACGAAAUGGGAAUGGAGAGAUGGCGAGAGUAGUGUGUACCCUCUGUGCCAAGAGGCUGGACGGUGGUGUAUCUGUGCUCUCGGUUGGCGUGAACCCGAUCUAGUCUUAAGAACCCCGGUGGCGAGUUGACAUAUGCAAGGGUUAAGUGCUACAUAUGUCGUGUGAUUGGAGAUCCCCAGCUGGGUAUUAUUCGAUUUGGAUCGUCGUUACUUCUCAGACAUGAAGACUUGGUCACUGCCGAGCAUUCGAGUGAACAAGAAGGGUUGAUAAAAAGAUGGCUAGUAUAGGCCAAGUGCUUGAACUAGGGUAGAAAGAACUCUAGAUUCAAGUAAUGACUUAACUUGCUAAUAUUACUAGAUUUUUAAGGAUCCACUAUUAGUAAGCAUUUUUGCAAACAGAGUCUUGAUUCUUGAUUAAGCCUUACCUGGACUCCCUCAAAGCCAGCAUAUCCUUGAGAGUCUUUUAUUUUGACGGGUAAGACUUGCAAAAGUACACUUCGUACUCAGGGUUUUCGAACCCAUGUUGUUGUAGGUGAGGAAGUAGCAAACUUUUGUUGCUUUUGCUCUAAGGUGGUGCCAAAGGAAGAAUCUCAAGAGUGAAGCCUCGGGAGGAUGUUGUCCUCCUUUUAAAAACAUUAUACUUUUAAGUGGGAGGGGUUUUUGCCUCCCGAGUUUGUAAUAAUAAUACUUCCGCACUCGUAUACUCUGGUCUGUAAUAAUAACACUCUUUCUAUAUCUUAAUGUAAAUUAAGUUACUACAAUUGCUUCCGCUUAUUCGUUCCUCCAAUGUGUUGUAAUAUCUGCGUGACGGGUGAAACGCUCUUGGGAAAGGUGAAAGAUACAGAUACCAAACUUGUCGAGUGAUUAGGUGCAUCUACAGGGUUGUCCAAGGUCUGCUGGACAAGGACAACUGUAGGUGGGCCUAAUGACUUGGGAGGUUCUGUCACAUUCCAUGGCCAGGGGCCAAACGGUCCGCGACCUGGCGCAGAGCUAGGGUUUUCCUGCCUGUCGGCCAGACGGUCCGCGCCCUGGGGCUGGACGGUCCAUGCGUACUCAGGGGGCAGCGAAAGGUCACCGACGGCGCCUGGAUCUCGCUCCCAAGAGGGACCCCGUCGGGGAGAAGAGAUCCUAGGUGAUGUCUAGGCUCGGGCAGACUGACCUAGACUCCUCUAAUCGACAUAGAGUCGAAGAGAAGCGUUGAAUUUGAGGAUUGAGAGGCUAAACUAGAACUAGACUAGAACUACUCCUAAUUGUACAGGAAAUAAAUGCGAGAUAAAAGUGUUAUUGAUUUGAUUGAUGAUUACAAAUCGGUCGUAUACCUCUGUAUUUAUAGAGGAGGGGGCUGGACCCGUUACUAACAAACUCCCCAAGCUAUUUUCGUGAAUCUCGUCAACAAACACAGCAAGAAACUCGGAACCCUAAUUGAUUCUGCGCGCGCGUGGACUGUCUGGACCGUGGACCGUCCGGCCCUAGGGCCGGACCGUCCGACCGCCUAUUUUGUGGCUCAACAUAUGCCCCAUGCCUUUUGGCGGAGCUGAGCGAACCAAAAGCAACUAACACGAUGUGAUCACUUCAGUUUCCUUAGGCAUCUUGCCACAUACUAGGAUGAUACUGCUUGAGGAAACGCCCGUUUAACGCCUUGGGCAAGUCUUUGCCUUGUAAUGUUUGCAAUAAGUAGGCGUUACUGGACAUCACCUGCGUGACUCUAUAAGGGCCUUCCCAGCUUGGCGACCACUUCCCAAACUUCCGGUCUUUGCUCCUCAGAGGCAGGACAAACUUCCAUACCAAGUCCCCUACCCAGAAUGAUUUAGCCUUGACCUUCUUAUUGUAAGCUUUGGCGACCAUGAUCUUGUCCUUUUUCUAUUUCUCCUAAGGCUGCCACCCUUUUGUCGGUCACUUCAUCAAUAUUGUCCAUCAUUGAAUUAUAAUAAUCACCGACAGUUAGAUCAUUUUGCUUGGCGAACCUAACAACAUUUAAACUUAUAUCUAUAGGUAACACUGCUUCCUACCCAUAGACAAGCUCAAACGGAGAUACUUUAGUAGCAUGGUGUUUAGAUAUUCUAUGAGCCCAUAAAGCUUCGGACAAAAUCUUAUGCCAAUGCUUAGGACGAUCAGAUAUCUUCUUUGUUAUCAAGCUAAUCAAUGUCCUAUUACUAGACUCGGCAUGUCCAUUGGCCUAAGCAUAAUAUGGAGAUGAAUUGAGUAACUUAAUUCUAUAUAAUUCAGCAAACUAACGUACCUCCUUUGACAUAAAAGAAGCCCCUUGGUCUGUAGUCAAAGUCUAGGAAUGCCGAAUCUAUGGAUAAUAUGCUCAGUUAUGAACUUAAUUACCUCCCUAUGUGUCAUGUUCUUUAGAGCAACGGCUUCAGUCUAUUUAGUUAAGUAGUCAGUGGAAACUAACACGAACCGAUGCCCUUUUGAUGAUGAAGGAUGAAUCUCUCCUAUAAAGUCUAAUCCCCAUCCUCUGAAAGGCCAAGGCUUGAUGAUAGGAUGUAAUUUGGCUGCAGGGACCAACUGUAAGUCGCUAAAUUUUUGACAUACUUGGCAUCUGUUGGGGGCCUUCGUCUUCCAAAGGUCCUCAAAAACAUGACUAACAAUGUUUCCCAAGCAUAAUAUAUGUACAGGAACCUUCGGACUCGGGAUGAAGUUGUACACAAUAUGGAGAGUAGGGUCAGAACGAAGGUUGAACCAGCGCCGAAGCUACGCGCAAGGGAGCUUCGGCUCAGUAGCAGAAAACGGAACCGACUUAAGGAGGAAAAGGCUAUCUAGUCCCCAAUAGAUUGUUCUUAAGUCAAUAGUGAACAUGAAGGGCAUGAAUGUAAUUUCACAUAGGCUGCGCCCUGUGCCUAUAAAUAGAUGAACAGUACCUCAUACUGUUCACGCUGACUUGUAUUCGCUCGUGCGUCAUGCUUGUACUUUUGCCUUCUGUCAAGCCAAAAGGUACAAAUGUAAUUCAGUAUUGUUCUUGUUCAUCCAUGAUUAUAUAAUAAGGACAUAUAAAGGAUGUCAUAUGAUUAUUCAUGUUAUUUCUCAUGUUUCAUAUGCUUUUCCUUUUAUCGAUGUAAACUAUGAUGAUGAAGGUAUGUCCUUCAUGACCUUCGUCCAAAGAUCGUUAUAUCCUAAGGGAAAUAAUGCUUCGAAGGACGAAGGGCAUUAACCAUUAACUUCUUUCUAUGUUGCCUUGUUCUUAAUUCAUAGCAUUUGAGAACAAGUCCCCAACAUUGGCGCCCACCUCCGGUGUACUCACUUCCACAACCUUCGGCAAAGCAUCAACCUUCGUCAUGCUGCCGAAGAAGAUAACAGCGCCAGGGGCUGCACUACAGCCACUGGACACAAACCAAGACACUCUCUCUCUCCGAGAGGCUAGAAGACAAAAGAGGAAAGCCACCAGUCCAACACUUCAGGAGGAGGAGUUGGACCAGCAGAUCAGGGACCUCGAAAUCAUUAACCAGCAGGUGCAAAGGAAAAAAGAGAAGAUGGCUCGGCUGGCCAACCUUCAGAAGAAGAUUGACAAAGCUACUGAGGAAGUGCGUCAUCUUACUCAAGAUGAUCACGACCAAAGGCCUCAAUACCAGGAGCUUCAUCAAGAGGGCUCGUUCAACGAAGACAAAUGGUACGAUGACUUCAAUCAUGGUAGCUUUACUUUUGAUGAUGCUUCUCUCCUAGCAGCAGAAUUGCAGGCUAUCCCAUGGCCACAUUCUUACAAGCCACCUCAGCUACCCAUGUAUGAUGGGCACUCGGACCCAAAGCAAUUCUUGAUGAGCUAUGAGGCAACAAUAUCCUCAUACGGAGGCAACGCAGCUGUCAUGGCAAAGUCCUUCGUCAUGGCAGUCCGAAACGUGGCCCAGACAUGGUAUUCUUCUCUUCGGCCAGGGACAAUCACGUCAUGGCAGAAGCUCAAGGACAUGCUAUUUACCAGCUUUCAGACGAAGCCAGCCACAGCUCAGGCCUUGUUCCAGUGCACACAAGACCAUGAGGAAUACCUUCAGGCGUAUGUCCGAAGGUUCUUGCGACUGAGAGCACAAGCGCCCACAGUGCCCGAUGAAAUUGUCAUUGAGGCCAUGAUCAAGGGUCUUCAACCAGGACCUACGGCUCAAUACUUUGCCAGGAAGCCCCCCUAGACUCUAGAGAAGCUGCUUCAGAAAAUGGAUGAGUACAUCCGGGCUGACAACGACUUCCGCCAAAGAAGGGAGGAAGCUUACAGAUUCUCUGAGAUGACUAGGGGCUUUGGAGGAAGAAUCCACCCUAGGCAUAUCAGAUCAAUCCACAGCUCCAGUCAGAAUGAUGACAAAGGAAGCCAGCUUCAGAGGCCAUAUCAUACCUCACAGUCUUCGGGACAGCAGCAAAGCUCCUUCAGGCCACCAGCUCCAAGGGGCAGAGGCGACAGGUGCUUCGGAGGAAGAUAUGGGGAUCAGCCUAGGAAAAUUUAUUGCUUAUUCUGUGGUGAGUACAAGGGCCAUACUACAAGAACGUGCCAAAUCACUAUUCUGAAGCAAAAGGAGAUCGCCGAAGCCGAAGCUCGGCAGAAUCAGCCGAAGCAGGUCUUACAUACUGCUUCAUGCCACUCUCCUUGCAUACCAGAAUACAUGGGCAAUCAACCUGAAGUUUCUGUUGCUUCGGCAAGCCAUUCACAGGCUUCUUGGCCUCAACUUCCACCGCCACUACCACUGCAACCUACUUAUUCCCGAAGCCAGCAGCUAGAAGGGCGCCAACACUCCCAGCAACAACGUGACUUCAGGGAGGAGUCUGAAGCUCGUACAGUCAAUAGUACUGUACCAGAAUCAAAGCACAUAUACUGAGCGAUAUCCUACUUCUGAAAUGCUUUUUUGUUCUAUGCCAUUUUGCUUUUUAAUAAGGAACAAGUGAUGUAAAUUUAGUUUUAAAUUCUUGUAAUGAUUUUGCUUCUAUCAGAAUGAAAUAUAUCUUCCUCACAGAACUACGAAGCUCAAAAUCUUCCUCACAGAAUUACGAAGCUCAAAAUCUUGUUCACAGAUUUACGAAGCUCAAAUGUUGUUCCAAAGGCAAUGCAGAGCCAAAAUUGCUGAAGCUACAAAAAGUCGUUCCUAAGGGAGCACAGCGUAAGUUUUGUGCUCAAAAGUCGUUCCUAAGGGAAUGCAGAGCCAAAAUUGCCGAAGCUACAAAAAGUUAUUCCUAAGGGAGCGCAGCGUAAGUUUUCUGCUUAAAAGUCGUUCCAAAGGGAAUGCAGAGCCAAAUACCGCUGAAAUAUAAGGCGAAAAAGUUCAAAAGUCGUUCCUAAGGGGAUGCAGAACUUAUACCACCGAAGUAGAUGGCGAAGAAGUUCAAAAGACAUUCCUAAGGGGAUGUAGAACUUAUAUCACCGAAAUAGAAGGUGAAGAAGCUCAAAAUUCGUUCCUAAGGGGAUGCAGAGCUUGUGUGUUCCAGUGUGGGCGUGUGGGUGUGUGUCUUUGGCAUCCUCAUCAUUUUGCAUCAUAUCAUCAUAUUGCAUCAAUGAUACGAGAAUUGAAUACGAAGCUCAUCUUCGGCAAAUGCUUCAUCAAAAUUAAAAGGUGCUAAGGCACGAAAUAAGUUUUGGGAGAUACAGUUUUAUCAGCCUUGUUACAAGAAAGAUCUCUUUUUACAAAGCAUGGAUAUCUCUCUUUACGAAGCAUGGAUCUUUUUCUUUACGAAGCAUGAAAAGGAGGGAAGGUGUUUUUUCGCCGAAGGCUCAAAAAUGGUAUGUGCGUAAAUUUCAUGCAUCGCAAAGAAAUAAACUACAAUAUUUUACAUAUUCAAUACAACACUCUAAAUAUUACAUAGUUUUGUUACAAUAGAAACUUAAUCUUCCUUCAUUUAUUGUAUACAUCAAGAUUUUCAAAAUGUUUAAUACAAUAAAAUGUAGUCCUCUUUAAGAAUUUUCUCUGCAACUUUGUUCAGCAAUUUGUUGACGACUUCGUCGACGAUGGAUUUAGCCAUGUUUAUGAUGUCCAGCGCUUCCUUCAUUUUUGGAUCAGCUAGGGGAUCGAACGGUUUCGGCGGCGGAGAUAAUUCAACCGAAGUAGGAAAAAUUAAUUAGCCCGAAGCCACAAAAACAAAAUGUCGAAGCUAAAAACCAAAAAUAAUACCUAUACGCUUUUCGCGCUCUGCAGCUUCUUCAGCUCGCCUUGCUUCUACUCGGGCGUCAUGGGUGUCUUUUUCACUUUUCUUUAUAAUUUCAUGGGCCAUAUCUCGGCCACAAUUCACCCAGACAUCAUUGUAAAAUUUCCCGCACAUCAAGGUUGCUUCAGCUGAAGGAUCCUUCGUAUCAUCUACGGAGAAGGUAGCUUCGGCCUGGGCCAUGGUCUUAAUGUGAUCACAUCCUGCCUUCUCCAAGAUGGCUGAAAUUCCCUGCGCACCGAAAAACGCGCAAACAUCCCCGCGAUCACUCAAAAUUUCUUCGAAGGUCUCGGCUUCUCCACUUAUCCAUUCAACAACGCCUUCGGGGUCGCCUCGUAUGAAAUUCUCUUUAGUAGAAUAGGCACCCACUUUGGCGAAGCUAGCUUUUAUUUUAUUUACGCAAUCCAAGGAUUUUUCAAAGCACCUUUCCUUGAAUGUGCGAAGCUCUUCAACAUUUUUCUCUAGAUGAUUUUUCCAAUAUUCGCUAAUUUCUUGGUUAGCUUGUGCGAGUGCGCAUUUUUCCUUAGCUUCGGCCAGUUGUCUCCGAAGGUCUUCAAUUUCAGUCUUUUGGGCUUCGACCUGAGCUUUGAAACCAGCUUUGUCUUCCUUCACUUUGUUUACUAGAGAAAUUAAGAUUUUGUCUUUUUCAAGACCUUUGUUUCUCAAUUCAAUCACCUCUAAACGAAGGUUGUUCAGAGCCAUCGUAUAGCCUUCGUCUUCAAUAUUUUUCUGCGCCCUAAGGGCAUUACUAAGAAUUAAGCCCUACAAGAGGAAGAAAGAAUUGAGCAUGACAAACGAAAUACCUCAUUCUCAAAUUCAAGUUAACUUCUAUUCCUUUAUACUGUUGUAUGCUUGGCUAUUAGCAAGAUCAUCCUUUGACAAAAUUGAAAGACCGUCUUCCAGCUUCGAGAAUCCCAUGCUUCUACCUAUCUCACGACAAACAGAUAUUUCUUUGUUGUCCGGGAGACAGUAUAAGAAAUCAUCUUCAUUACUCCCGUUAAAAACCAAGGCUCCCUUUGGAUAUUUCAACUUUCGCGCAUAGUGCCUGGCUUCCAGAAUUUCUUCUUUGGACAGCUUCUUUCCCGAAGCGUGUCGAAUGAUGUAGUCAAUAUUUUCGAUUAAAGCUUCGGGAGAAGGAGUCUCGAUCUUUUCAGGAGCAAUUUGCUUUGCCGCUUUUUCUUCAGACGUGGUAGGUUUUGUCUCGAUGAGCACUGAAGGCCCAGUUUCGACUUCAGCUUGAGCUUGCGUAGCUUCGGCUUCUGCUUGCCCGGUUUCGGUUCCGGCCUAUGAUUUGGCUUUAGUUUGAGCAAUUUUCUUUAUAGGAGUAGGGCUUAACGCCUUUGUAGUCUCCAGCACAGCAUCCAGUACGUUGGCCAUCCUUCUCCUCUUGGGAGUUGCGGCAAAAGCCUUUUGCAUCUUCGGCAGAUUUGCCUUCGUCGGAGGGCUCAGAAUUUUUGGCUUCAACCUUUGGCUCUUCGGCCUUAUCAACCUUAUCUUCGACUGCCUUGACUGUAUGCGUCUUCGGCAUUACGGUCGGCUCUUCGGCGCUCUAUGUAAUCGAAGCAGUCUGUGUUGCUUCGGCUGCUGAAGUGGACCCUGCGCCAAAUUCAGGCACCACAGCCGGUUCAAUGAAACGCGACCGGUGGGUCAGAACCUUCACCUUUUUGCUCUUCGGCACAGGCUCAGCUGGGGUGACCGAAGCAGCAAUCUUCCUCUUUUUCUCUUGUCCUCGCAGCAGGUAGCGGUAAUCAGGGUAUACAAUGCAUCAAAUACCCUAUUUAAUCUUUUCUUGCCCCGGCCACCAAAUGCUGCGGACAGGGCAUUAUCUUCAGCCUUGGAGUAUGCUCCAAGCAACUCAUCACUGGUAGCUUUGAUGCAUUUCAACCAGUCGUCGUUCGGCUCAUCAAAUUUCUCCCUAAAUCUGAAGGUAUACUUCAGUCGGACCAGACCACCCUCACCAGAGUCGGAGGUGGUCUCCUUCGGCAUUUCCCAGCUUUCCACAAGCUGCCAUACCCUGAAGGCUAUAUGUUCUUGAAUCAAAUCUCUUAUGCCAAUGAAGGAGCAAACAGUGCUGAAAGCCCUCUGACAUGCUUCGACAGCGUCAUCAAUUUCCACCUUCGGCCUUCGGAGGCCGAAGCAGGACCAGAUGGGGCGCUGGAUGAUUUCUUUAAUGCCUUCCAUUGCAUUUAAAUCAUUCUUCACAUAAAACCACUCUUCCAUCCAGGCCCCGGACCAUCUCUUCCGAAAUGUUGUCAUCGGGUGGCACGCGUUGGGGCGAGCAAUAAAUCCAUAACAUCCGAAGUUGUUAUGGUACUGUUCUUUGCCAGUAGCCUUCGUCUCAUAUAAGAGCUCGUGCAUACUGCAGAAGCACUUUGCGCUUGGCUCUAACCCCUGACUCCUUAUAGCCCAGACAAAAAUCCCCAUCUUCAUAAUAGCUUUGGGGGUGAUCUGAUGAAGGAAGAUCUGGUAGAUCUUCAGCACUUCAACUACAAACUUGCUCAAAGGAAACCGAAGUCCAGCCUUAAAAAAGCUUCGGUAGAUAACAACUUCGUUUUCCUCAAGAGCAGGGACGUUGUUGUCUCCUCCAGCCCUCACGAUAUACAUGCCCCGAAAGUACCUUCCUCUCAUGUUCUCAAGAUGACUCUGUUUAAUGGUCGACUUUUCGAAAACAGCAUGGCUUGGUCGCCAGGGCUGAUCCUCCGAAUCUUCAUCCCCACUUUCCACAUCAUAGCUAUCGCCGUCACCAGUAUCUUCAGAUAAACCUUCUAGUAUUUCUUUAGUAAUCUUCUCUGUGUUUGUUUUUGCCAUGGACUCAAUAAAUCCAGCAAUAUAAGGAUCUACAACCUUCUUCUCCUCCAACAGCUUCAUCUCUUCAGUUAGCUUCACCCUCUCAGUCAUUUUUCCCCAGACAUGGUGAAAACGCGUCUUUUAACCGAAGCUCAAAAAGCUUGGAAAUCUACCGAGUGCUAUUGAGCAAGAGCUUAAAGUUUGAGAAAAUAAUGCAAAUGGCAGAAACAGCGUAUCAAAUGCUGCCGGUGUGAGUUCAUAUUUAUACACCUAGCACGCUGCAACUUGGAGGGCCCCGUCUAUCAUUGAUUGUUGCUAUUCUAGCAAAGGGAAGGUGUUUUUUCAGACCUCCGGCUUAAGGCCUUCAUUCACGUCGCAGUCUGAAUUCGUUGUUAUAACAAAUUAAUACUGCGAGGGGCUACUGUUGGGGGCCUUCGUCUUCCGAAGGUCCUCAAAAACAUGAUUAACAAUGUUUCCCAAGCAUAAUAUAUGUAUAGGAACCUUCGGACUUGGGAUGAAGUUGUACACAAUAUGGAGAGCAGGGUCAGAACGAAGGUUGAACCAGCGUCGAAGCUGCGCGCAAGGGAGCUUCGGCUCAGUAGCAGAAAAAGGAACCGACUUAAGGAGGAAAAGGCUAUCUAGUCCCCGAUAGAUUGUUCUUAAGUCAACAGUGAACAUGAAGGGCAUGAAUGUAAUUUCACAUAGGUUACGCCCUGUGUCUAUAAAUAGAUGAACAGUACCCCGUACUGUUCACACUGACUUGUAUUCGCUCGUGCGUCACGCUUGUACUUUUGCCUUCUGUCAAGCCAAAGGUACAAAUGUAAUUCAGUAUUGUUCUUGUUCAUCCAUGAUUAUAUAAUAAGGACAUAUAAAGGAUGUCCUAUGAUUAUUCAUGUUAUUUCUCAUGUUUCAUAUGUUUUUCCUUUUAUCGAUGUAAACUGUGAUGAUGAAGGUAUGUCCUUCAUGACCUUUGUCCAAAUAUCGGUAUAUCCUAAGGGAAAUAAUGCUUCGAAGGACGAAGGGCAUUAACCAUUAACUUCUUUUUGUGUUGCCUUGUUCUUAAUUCAUAGCAUUUGAGAACAAGUCCCCAAUAGCAUCCUUUGUAAUACUUGAAACAAUAGCUAUCAUGUUAGGCCAAUAGAAGCCAGACCUUCGCAACAACCACUUCAUCUUUGGAGCUGAUUGAUGGGUACCACAAAUCCCUUCAUGUACUUCGGCCAUGGCUAAUAUUGCAUCAUCUAGGCCCAAGCACUUAAGCAGGAUGUCGUUGACUGUCCGGCGGUAGAGUUCAUCACUCAUUAAAACAUACUUGAAAGUUGUACGCUGAAUGUUCUUAUCAAUCCUAAUAUUGGGAUUCCGUAAAUAAUUAAUUAUGGGUGUCUUCCAAUCACUUGCAUCGCUUCAUUAUCAACUGAAUCAAUUAGGAGAACUUUCCUAGCAACCCCGGAUAGUCCGGAGUCUUUACUCAGACGGUCUGAGACCUGGGGGAUUGACCCUGUAUCAGUUAUCAGAUUUUCAGUGUUGUCAAAUCUCCCUCGCUUUAUCUGAUAACCUAAUGCAUCUUGUGCCAAAUUGUUAGCCCUGUGAUUCUCAACUCUAGAGAAGUGCCGAAUACUAAAUUCGUCAAAAGAAUGAAUUAUGCCCCAACACUUUUCAAGGUAACUAUUUAGAGUACCAUCAAAACAUUGAUAUUCUUCUAAUACCUGUUGGACAACCAGCUGAGAAUCACCAAAUGCCUUCACAUGUUUUACUCCCAUACAAUUUAAAAGCUCCAAGCCGAACAAAAGGGCCUCAUAUUCGGCUUGAUUGUUAGUGCAAUAAGUUUUCAAUCGGCUAGAGAAGUCGAAGGAGACAUUACUUGGUGAAACAAGCACGAUGUCAAUUCCUUGCCCUUCAUUGCAAACCGAUCCAUCAAAAUAUAAAGCCCAGGGAGUAACAGUGAGGUAUGAUAUGUCUAGUCUAUGAGUAUCAUUAAUCCGAUGUUCCACAAUAAAAUCCGCUACGACCUGGCCUCUCAUAGAUUUCAAUGGUUCAUAGGCCAAGUCAUAUUCUAUGAGUGCAUAAGCCCACUUACCAAUUCUACCACUCAUAAUUGGGUUAUGCAACAUGUAUUUGAUCACAUCGGCUUGACCAGAAACAGUGCAACGACUAGACAGUAAAUAACAUCUACACUUGGUGCAUGCAUAAAACAAGCAUAAGCAUAAUUUCUCAAUGAAAGUGUACCUUGUUUCAGCAUCCACCAACCUCCAACUUAGAUAGGUCACCACAUGCUCCUUUCCUCCGAUCUCUUGUGUCAAAACAGCCCCAAUAACCUUGUCUUCAGCUGCAAUGUAUAAUCUGAAUGGUACUCCUACUUGUGGUGCUUUUAAUACAGGAGCCGAAGACAUAUUUUCUAAUGAGAUUAAAUGUUUCUUGCUAUUUUGCCCGCCAAGUGAAUUCGGCAUCAUUCUUAAGCCGAAGGAUAGGGGUGAAGGCAUCAAUCUUCCUAGCCAGGUUAGAAAUAAACCUCCGCAAAUCAUUUACCUUGCCGAGAAACUUCUGCAUUUUGACCUUACAGGUCGGAGAGCCCACAUUUCGAAUAGAUUUGAUUCGGUCAGGGUCUAUCUCUAUACUAUGUUCAUGUAUGAUGAAUCCUAAAAACUUACCAGCCGACACUCCAAAAGCACAUUUACGUGGGUUCAUUUUCAAACCAUACUGACACAUUUUAUCAAAGGCUUUGCGCAAAUCGGCUACAUGAGAACUAAACUCAACCGAUUUGACUACAAUAUCAUCAAUGUAGACUUCCACAGUGUUUCCCAACAGCUUAUGAAAGAUCAAAUUCAUAUCCCUCUGAUAAGUAGCACCAGCAUUUUUCAGACAAAUGUCAUGACAACCCAUUCAAAUAAACCAAUAAAGCCUGGACAUAUACAGGCCAUUUUAGACGCAUCUUCUUCGGCCAUGAAAGUCUGAUUAUAUCCGACAUUACCAUCAAGAAAGCUAAUAAUUCUAUUCCCUGAUGCAUUAUUUAUUAAUGUGUCGGCUAUGGGCAUGGGAUAUUCAUCUUUAGGAGUUGCUCUAUUUAAAUUGCGAAAAUCAAUGCAUACUCUAUGUUUACCUGACUCCUUCUCCACCGGCACAAUAUUGGAGACCCACUCUGCGUAUCUGCAAGGUCUAAUAAAAUUAGCUUCUACCAGCUGGUGGAUUUUGUCCUUGAUUCGUGGGAGAAGGUCUAGACGAAAUGUUCUAGUUUUCUGCUUGAAAGGUCUAAAACUGGACUUAAUGGGCAGCCGAUGCUCUACGAUCUCACGACUUAAUCCCGACAUCUCAGUGUAAUUCCAAGCAAAGCAAUCCGAAUAUUCUUUCAAUAGACCGAUCAUUUCAUUUCUAGGAUCGGUCCCCAGGGUCUUGUUCACAAAAGGUGGCCUUGGAGUUUUACCAUCUCCUAUGUUGAUCUCCUCCAAAGGAUCGGCCGAUGUAAACCCUUGUCCUAAUUUAUCGAGAUCUCUGAAUUCCUCUAUCAUGUCCCCCACAGAGGAACCAGAUGAUCUUUGUGUGAUGGCGGACUCUCCGAUCUCGGGGGCCAGAUCAUCCAUGAUAAUGUCCUUACACUGUGGUAGAUGUUCAGUCUUAAAGACCGAACUGUUUUGUGAAAGACCGGACCAUCUGGCCUCACAAGCCAAACUAUCCGUGACUAGGGACUCAUGUAUUCUAUAUGUACUCAUCAUUUAAACUUUAUUUAGGAUUUAGCCGAUUCUCCAUCAGCUCUAGCAUUACAGGAAUGAAACCCUUCUUAUCUAUACUUAUGAACUGAUAAUCAAAGAAAUCUACUCAUGUGAGACACGUAGCAGCCUCAUAAGUCCAAAGUACAGGGGCAUCGGCCACAACGAUACAGGCCGAUACAUCAGCAUGUUGUUCUACAUCGUCGCCUACCCAUUGUAGUAACAUUUGACGUAAUGUAGAAGGUACACAUUGGUUAGCAUGAAUCCAAUCCCUGCCUAGGAUUAGACUGUAAUUUCCUUCUACAUCAGCGACGAAGAAUGCAGCAGCAAGGGUCUUAGUCCCGAUGGUUAAUUCAACGGACGUGACUCCCCUGGCUUUGAUCGAACUAUCAGUUCCAACACCGCUGAGGGUCAUGUUGGUCUUGACAAGUUUGUCAUCUUGUUUACCUAAUUUUCUGUACAAUGAAUAAGGCAUUAGAUUUAUAGCCGCCCCUCCAUCUACCAACAUUUUAGCAAUCGAUAUCCCAUCAAUGUGACCGCGCACGAAGAGCGGCUUCAAAUGAUUUACCGAUUCCUUUGGUUUAGUGAAGGCGACUUCUUUAGGACCAAAAUCAAACUGGGCAACAACAGGUUCAUCGUCGCCGACAAUAGUACAAUCGGCGGAAAAUGUAAUAACAUUUACAUCCAUACCUGAGCACUCUGGAGAAGCUUCAUAGUCGAUCAGGUCUUCUCCCAGUAGGUCGUCCUCCUCCAUUGGUGUCGGCACGUCGUCGGAGGCGUCCUGGUGUGCUGCGGACGGUCCGGACUCAGGGGUCGGACAAUCCACGCCUUGUGCAGAUGGUCCAGUCUUUUUAGCCGGGCUAUCUGCCAUACUCGCAGGGUGCUACACAAGUGUUGUUUUAUUUUCUAUUUUUGUGGUCGUUUGCUUUUCCUCAACGGCCUUUGGUCUCCAUUUCUUUUGCGGUGGUAGGUACUAUGGAUGUGUGCCAUUGAAUAUCUUUUCCGCCUCCUUCUCCUGGCUCUCCUUCGCUCUUAGGCACUGUAAUUUUCGCUUUUGGGAUCAUGUCAAUCCCGACGGGCACCAUCGAGGCAUGGAGUAUUUUGGAUCGGCUGUUUUGAUGGCAGUCAUAUCCUCUUUUUUGGUUGUGUUGGCCGAUUCACCAAAAAUCAUCGGUCCUUCAUUAUUUUCCUGUAUGAUGACAUCUGCAGUACCUAUUUUGAUGAUGUCCUUCUUUGUUGUUCUUUCGGUCGCUGCAGGUAUAUGCCCCCCUGCCGGAUUGAUCGGCCUUUGAGGCCAAGUAGUCCAGCAAUCUUGUUGGGCCUGUGCCUGGUGACCGGAUUGAGCGGCGCUCAAUCGGUCUUCUACUAGAGGUGCCAACCUGUUGAAUACAGAUGUUUGGGAUGCCCCGCAAGCGGGGUACUGUGGCAUCCCAAAUGGAUAUGGCGACAUGCCCCACAUUUGAUUUGGGACAUAUGGUGGAGGUAUGUAUGUGUAUGGAUAUGGCAUAGGUGGAUAUGGGGGUGGAGGUGUCCAUGUAGAUAUGUUAGGUCUCAAUUAGACAGUAUGACCUUCCAUUUCUUCCGAUUGGUGAGGUGGUCCAAUCGGUCUUACCUGAUGUUGCUCACGAAUGGACGAGCGAGGUCGCUUUGCUGGCCGGUCACUGGGGACGGCCUUCUUUUUCAUAUAUUUGGACAAUAACUGAUUGAAAGUCAGGCCAGAUUUGAUUAGCCGACCAGCUGCUUUAAACGUACUAGUUUUCUACGUACCUAUCUCUGGUCGUCGUGGUUUGAAGGUACACGGUCGUUGUGGGUCUUGAGUAUAACCGGACCGUCCGCUGGAAUUCUCCGGACCGUCCGGCGUGGUCCCGGACUGUCUGCGCCUGUGCGUCGGAUCGUCCGAGAUGCGCAGCACGGGCUCCUGCUCCUGCCCCUUAGUCUGCGCUUGCCCCCCAGUGCUGGAGGUCGUGAUGGUCACCUUAAGAGUCUCCCCUCCAUCAGGAGUCUUCUCGGCCACCACUUUUCUGCAAAAAAUCUUAUGAUUCCCAUCGGCCUCUCUUGUGUUGCCGAUGAUUAUCUCUUUGUCUUUUCUUUUAUCGGUUUUGCUUGGCCGAAUGAGGACCUUUUUGCCCUCGAAGUCGAUCGUGUUCAUCGGAAAGGGCUCCGUGUCUACCUGCAUUUCCUGAAAUUUCAAUCGUCCUUCGUUAAUGGCUGAUUGAAUCUGUCGACGGAAUACAUUACAAUCAUUAGUGGCAUGAGAAAAUGAGUUAUGCCACCUGCAGUAUGCACGACAUUUUAGUUCGUCGGCAGAUGGAAUAGUAUGAUUUAUUUUAAUCUUGCCAUUUUUGAAUAAUUCAUCAAAUAUUUUAUCACAUUUGCCAACAUUAAAUGUAAACUUAACUUCCUCUUGUCGUUUCUUUUGAACCAUCUAUAAGGAGGAACAAGCUGAAGAUUUGGCCUAUUUUGGCCAAACCAUUUCAGCCGCGUAUACCUCUGCUAAUUCAUCAUCCAAGCUGCUUUGGUCGCACUCUACUAUAUGCACAUUGUGAUGAAUUGUUUUAGUAGUUUCUUUGCUUUGGCUCUCACAAGCCAAAGCUCUUUGAUGUAAUUGUGCUAGCGUAAAGAACUAGAUACCUUCUAAUCUUUCUUUUAAAUAAUAUCGUAGUCCAUUAAAGGCUAAUCCUGCUAGCUGUUUUUCCGCUAAUUGUAUUUGGAAGCAUCGGUUUCUUGUAUCCUAGAACCUCCGGUUGUAUUCAUUAACCGAUUCAUCCUUCCCCUGCCACAGGGCCACUAGGGCUACCAAAUCUAAUUCAUAAUCACCGGAAAAGAAAUGAUCGUGCAAUCUUUGUUCUAACUCACCCCAUGACAAAAUAGUUAGGAGGUAAAGUGGUGUACCAUGCGAACGCUGUUCCGGUUAAAGACAAUGAAAAUAAACGCACGCGGAAUGCUUCUAUAUCGGCCAAUUCUCCUAAUUGUGCUAGAAACUGGCCUAUGUGUUCACACGUGAUUUUCCCUUGAUCACCCGAAAAUUUUGCAAAUUCGGGUAUCCUGGUUCCCUGUGGGUAUGAGUGAUGAUCAAAUCAGCUGUCAUAAGGUUUCCGAUAUGAUUGCCCCCUAGGGACCAUGCUUACUCCGAGCUUAUCUCAGAACGCCCCAGCUAUUUCUUCCCUUACUAUAUCAAUGGCAGCCGGUGCGAGCCCACCGACCCUCUUGUCAAACAUUGGUUGGGCUGGCUGGAUAUUAGCAUGUUGUCUUUCCCCCCACUGGUUUGAGUUAUGUGGUACAUUAUUAUUCGCUCUAUAUGGUUCAUAGGAUUGACCGUUCCUCCCUGGCCUUCUAGGUGGGGCCGAAAAGUACUCGCUCCCAUGGGCCUGAGAUUCUGUGUUAAUGGGAUGGUGCAUUGUAUAGUGUGAUGGGAGGUGUUGCUGGGACAUGUGAGGAUUCAGGUAACAAUCCUCCUCAAAAAACUCUACGCUGGACCGUCCACUUGGAUAUGCGGACCGUCCGGUGAUAUGCGCGGACUGUCCAGGUAUGUGCACGGACCGUCCGUGAUUAUACGCAGACCGUCUAUUGCUGUAUGCGGACCAUCCAACUGGGUAAUUUUGAUUCUGUGCAGUACGUUGUGGCUCGGGUGCAUGUCUCUGUAAUUCAUUAAAAACGGGCCCAGCCGGUGCUAGCCCGAACGGUCCACGCUCAUGUGCGGACGGUCCGGUCAUGUGCAGAUCGACUAAUUUAUUGUCGAUGUGCGUAGGAGGUUGGGUUGCCCAGGUCAUGUAUCUAUCGGCAUCCCAUAAAGGGGUUGUAACUAGUCGUGACAACUUGUAGCCGAUGAAUUACGCAUGUUUCCCCCAAUUCAAACUCGUGUGAAGGAAAAUUUGCGACAGUAGAUUUAUCAAAUGAACGUACUAGCCUCCUAUAAUCGUUUUGCAUAUCCCCUAUGAUAUUUUGCAUUUGUUCUCAUUGUUCAUCUACAUAAUUCUUAAGAGAUUGUAGCUCGUUUGUGUUACUUACAUUGGGGAUGUCAGGUGUGGGUCGGAGCGAAGCCGGAUCCGUCGCCCGUUGCCGAACGACUUUAUUGUUCCUGUCCACCUUGAAGUUGGCCAGGAACUUCGCCUUUGCCUCUUGAAUCAGCUGCUCCUUGUGCUCCUCGAACUGGAGCUGUUCGUCAGCCGGCAAGGUUUCACAAGUCGGCUCUAUAAUGUUGCUGGGGGAGACUUCAGAGCUAUCUCUUGAACGGGCCAUUAAGGGCCAAUUUGAUAGGUCUAUAUGUGUUGUCCCCAGCGGAGUCGCCAAAAAGUGUGUUGGUGCCUUUUUGGGGCGCCAAUCACUACACAAGAACCCGUGGUGGUGCUCUCUGCACAAGGGGGGACGGUCCGCGGCAAGGGGCCGGACGGUCCAUGACCUGGCGCAGAGCUAAGGUUUUCCUUCCUGUCGGACGGACGAUCCGCGCCCUUGGGUCGGACGGUCCGCGCGUGCGCAGGGGGCGGUGAAAGGUCGCCGGUGGCGCCUGAAUCUCGCUCCCAGGAGGGAUCCCAUCAGGGAGAAGAGAUCCUAGGUGAUGUCUAGGCUCGGGCAGACCGACCUAGACUCCUCUAAUCGACGUAGAGUCGAAGAAAAGCGGUGAAUUUGGGGAUUGAGAGGCUAAAAUAGAACUAGACUAGAACUACUCCUAAUUGUACAGGAAAUAAAUGCGAGAUAAAAGUGUUAUUGAUUCGAUUGAUGAUUACAAAUCGGCCGUAUACCUCUAUAUUUAUAGAGGAGGGGGCUAGACCCGUUACAAACAAACUCCCCGAGCUAAUUCCAUGAAUCUCGUCAACAAACCCAGCAAGAAACUCAGAACCUUAAUCGGUUCUGCGCGCGCGGACUGUCUGGACCGCAGACCGUCCGGCUGCCUAUUUUGUGGCUCAACAACUGGCUCCCAGAAUCAGGGGUUUGGUCUGGGGUCUUCGUCGAAGUUCGCGGGAGCACGAGGUGCACUAGCCAGGCACGAUUGAUGGCUGGAGCGGAGGGAAUUCUUCACCGGAGCAUGGGCGUCAUGGUGGUGUCGUGGGUCAUCGUGGGAGGACUCCCCCACUACACUGCUACCUGUAAGAUGCCUUUACAUGAGUUUGUGUUGUCCUUCGUUACAUGUAGUGCCCUU
rnacentral:lncRNA from 1 species